GUUUYCCGCUCGCAGACUCUCGUGCUGACGAGGUGGGGAGACCUGCCGGCGCAGGCUGGCUGAAGACCGUCUGGUCAGAAAACGAGUGAAAAAACAAAAGACUGUGGAGGGAAGGGAAGUGGCGGGUGUCGCCUGCCUGGAGCUACUGGAGAGCAGUUGGCCCAGGUUGGGGCGGCACCGUCCUUCUGGGCCCCGCGCCCUGACGGGACUCAAAUCACAGCAGAAGGCAGAAUCUCUCCAGAAGUUCCGUCGGGGACCACACAGAUCAUCCACGAAGGCUGAUUUCUGAUGAACAAAAGGAGAAAAGCAGGGGCUGUGGCCGUGGCUCAGUGGGCACACCAGAAGGAAGGGAGGAGUAUUGGGGAAGAUCUGAGCAAGACUCACUGCUUGGGAGUACAUGGAUGGACCGUUGGAUGCAGAGGUCGGAGAUGCAGACAGGCUCUCAGGGGCCUGGGAUGCCCACUUACGGCCUUCCAUAUACAGGCUGCAGGAAAGGACCCGGGACAGGUGGAGAAGAAAACAGCAGUGGCUGCCCUCUACCUUUCCUACUAGAGAGGUCCAAGGAAAAGAGAAUUGAAGCAUGAAAAGUGUCACCCUCAGAGCUGUCCCUUCCUCCCACGUUUCUGCUCCCUGUGCUGUUUCCCUGCUCCUCUCCCUGGAGUCCUGAGUGGUCAUGCAGGGGUAUGGACAGACAGAUGCUGUCACUCACCCUCUCUCUGCUGGGAAUGGAAAAUCUCCUCUUGGUAUGGGAAAGGUGGGUCUACUGGGGUAGAAGGAGAUGUAUAAGCAAAUAUCACAUUGGAAUGGGCAUUUGUAGAAGAUAGGCACCUGGCUAGCCCCCAUUCAUAAAGAGGAACGCAGUAGAGAAGUGAAAAUAAAUGCUAUUUUUGUGUCAUUUAAUCAUAACUAUCAAACAGGUAUUAUUUCCUCAGUUUUAUACGUGAAGAAACUAAAGCUUGGUAAUUGAGUCAUGCCAGGUUACAUAAAUGGGAAAUGGCAGCGCCUGUUUUGUGUGCCUUCAAGGCCCUUGCUCUAGGGUAAGGCUAGGUGAAGGUGGUGUGUG